rnacentral:ncRNA from 2 species
CAACCUCUGGCGAAAUACGUGAAUGUUG